rnacentral:rRNA from 1 species
GACGUGACUUCAGAGUUUGAUCCUGGCUCAGGAUGAACGCUGGCGGCGUGCUUAACACAUGCAAGUCGAACGAAGCACUUUGGAACGAUUCUUCGGAUGAGUGAUAUUGUGACUGAGUGGCGGACGGGUGAGUAACGCGUGGGUAACCUGCCUCAUACAGGGGGAUAACAGUUAGAAAUGACUGCUAAUACCGCAUAAGCGCACGGUAUCGCAUGAUACAGUGUGAAAAACUCCGGUGGUAUGAGAUGGACCCGCGUCUGAUUAGCUGGUUGGUGAGGUAACGGCUCACCAAGGCAACGAUCAGUAGCCGGCCUGAGAGGGUGAACGGCCACAUUGGGACUGAGACACGGCCCAA